CUUUAUUGGAUAAUGUUAACCACCAAGAUUAAAGACUGACUAACAUUUUUUUAAUGUAAGCCCAGAUAUUUUAUUAUUAUAUAUGCAUAGAAGUCGAGACUUUGGGCAUUAUAGUGUAUUGAUUCUAGAUCUGUUACUAGCAGCAAGUGCUUAGCCUUAUGCCUAUCCCACGCAUGCUUAAACACUCCUUUACUGUGUUAACUUCUAUCACUUCAGC